ensembl:lncRNA
AGACCAGCCACCUGGACUUGGGCUCCGAUGACGCUGCCACUGCCGCAGGAAGAGCUCAGGAAUAUCUGCCAGAUUCCAGAAUGGACACUGUCCUCCAGAGCCCACAGUGUCCGGGGUCCUGGCCUGCCCCUGAGGCUGAGUGGCCAGCAGAGGCAGCCCAUCCGGCAUCUCUCAAGGGCCUGAGAGCAGCAGGAACCCCUUCUUGUCCUCGACUUGGUGGUGAUCAAGGGGGCUCGUGCUGCUCUGGGCAGGAGGAGGCAAAGCUGUCCUUCAGCGAGUGCUCCGUCCAUGUGGAGAAGCCACAGGGCAGCCAGGGAAUCACCUGGAACCAGGCUCCACAUGUGGGGAGAGAAGGCUGUCUCUGUCAGCAGACCCAGGAAAGAAGACCAUAGAGAGGCAAACACGUCCCUCUGGAAAAUGUGACACCCCUCCCACAUGACCUGUGGAGUGCAGGUGGCCCUGAGAUUUACGAUCCCUUCCUGGGAGCCAAGUAAAAGCCAAGCGACCAUCAGCCUGCCCACACCACCUAUGGGAAAUGUUCCUACCUUGCACGGUUCCAACCAGGAGCCCAGGCGAUGCCCGUUGACCAUAAGAAGCUGUGUUUAUUGGCCAGGGCUGGUGGCAGGAAACCGGGGUCUGGAGCCCCAAGCACUGGGCUGGCUCUGCCUCUGCUAGGCCAUGUCACCUUGUUCAGGUUGCUCGCUUCUCCAAGCAUCCUCCUCUCCUCUGCCUGCAUGAUGAUUCUGUUCUGCGGGCCAAGUGCACUCCAGACCCGGAUGGUGCCUCGGGUACUGCACAUUGCCUCCUGUGGGGCUCCCAGCCUGUGCAGGGUGUUGUCUAGGGAGACAGAGAAUUCGGGGCUUUGGCAAGUUCUCAAAGGAGCCCAGGACCCUCUGUGGUCCAGCACCGCUACUGGAUGGGGUGUGAGUCCAUCAAGGAACCCAGACACCCAGCUCUGCCUCUAACUUGCCAGCCACUUCCAAGCCACCCCUGGCUUCUCCAGGCCUGUUCCUCACCUGGACAGUGGAGGUGGCCACACAGCUUCCUGGCCCCUCCGACACCUGAUGAGUGUGCAGCUUGUCCCUGCCACACCCCACGCUUCUCGCCUGUUUACAGGGCCCAUGCUCAUAAGCACUCUGUGGCCCUUGGGGAGGCAUCCUGCUUCUAGAAGACGUGGAGAGUCCUUCUCUAAACUUGUGCCGCUUCAAGUAACUUGUGUCCCACAGGUAACCACAGCAGCCCAAAGCACCCCCAGGCCCGCAGCCCAUCUGAGCUCCUUCUGGCCUUCAGUUGAAGAGCAUCUCGGCCCGUUGCUGGGAUAGACCUUUGGCAACCGCUCCCUCACAUUGUGUCCUGGGAGCUGCAGGACAGUGAGGCUGGCUACUGAGGGGCAGCCAGGGAUGCGGACAGGGACAUUUGAAAUUCCAGCAUCACCCAGGAAGUCCAGGCGUAAAGCCCGGCACUGCUGGCAAGACUUCUGUGGGCUGAUUUCCCCUGGUCCUUGCUCCUGCACGACCACAGCUGAUGGUGGGAGCAGGGCGGGCAGACAGGUCCACAGCACCUGGAGCUCUGGUCAGAGGGAGCAAGGACAGAGAGCCCCCAACCCAAGUUGCUAGUCCAUGGCAGGAACGAGGGCCACCCUGGACCAGACCUGGCACACACACCUGUCCUGUUUGCCUUCCAUCUUUUCUUGUUCUUGUGGUAAAAUGCACCUAACAGAAAACUUGCUGUUUGGACCUAUUACGUGUCAGCUCAGUGGCAUUAGCACAGUCACAUCAUUCUGCAGCCACCGAUCCAUCCACCUCUGGAACAUUUCAACUCUGUCCUCAUUAAACCCCAGGCCUUCUUACCCCUCCUCCAGCACGAGCAACCUCAUUCUGCUCUUUCUCUGUGAAUAUGACUGCUUCAGGAGCUCAUCUGAGUGGAAUCGCACACAGUUCGACCUUUUGUGGCUGGCUUAAUUCAUUCAGCAUAAUGUUUCCAAGGUUCAUCCAUGUUGGAUUGUGGGUCAGAAUGCCCUUCCUUUUUUCAGGGUGAAUAGUAUUCUACCAUAUAGAUAGAUCAGAUUUUGUUUCUCCCUCCCUCAUCAAUUAGGGUCACUUCCACCUUUACGGCUAUUGUGAAUAAUUCUGCUCUGAAAAUCAGUGUACACACCUCUGUUGUGUUUGUUAAUAUUGGAAUUAAUAAGUUCAUCUUUCAAAACCAAAUGAUUUCUUAUAAAAUCUGGGUGUCUGGCUUCUCUUUGAAAAUCAGUGGACCUGAGAACUUUGGACCCCUGUCUUCCUGGCCAUGGUUGGAGCUGCGUGAGGUCAGCCCCCUCCCUCUCCUCUACAGGGCACCCGCCCCGUGGGCAUCUUCUCUGCUCACCACGUAAGCUGCCUGUUCCCCUGGCUAGGCCCUGGCGACACCUGCCCCGCUCCCCCACCCUCACAUUAUGGGUGGUGAUGCUGAGGCCCAGGGGAGGGACACGAGCCCCUCUUCAGGCUCCCAGGAUGACAGUGACACCACCGAUGUCUUCCACGGCCUGGACUGGUUCCUCUUCCAGCUCUGCCACCUGCCCAUCCCAGUGACCUGGGGCAGAGCCCCUAACUGUUCUGAACUUCGGUUUCCCCUUUGGCCAGGACGUGAGAGUGAUAGUGAAGACAGAGCGCUGGGUACCCACUGGGGCAUCUGAGGCAUGAACAAUGCACAGAGCAAGUCGAAAGUCAGUGGCCUGGUGUUGGGUCUGAUUCCGGAGCUGCACACGGGGAAAGGGACCUGGCGCCUGAGAGCCGGCCUUCCCUACGCGAGGCGUGAUGUCAUGGGGACAGUCCAGCUUUGGUAUCUGCCACCCUGGCUCCAAAGCCCACCCUGCGCCCGGCCAGAUCCUGUCUGAGCUGCAGUCCUCCGCAGGGAGAUGGGGCCACGUGCUAUGUCCUCUCCAGCACCAGGACAAGUGAGAACCCUGGGCACUGGCACGUAGUCCAUGCUUGGUACAGUCUGGGUCUCUCCCUUCCCUUCCCCAGUAGGAGUCUGCCUCCUGGGUUAAAGCCAUGGCCUGUUUUCCAGGUAUUUCACAAUUGACGAGGGAGCAAGUGGCUUCCGGCUCCCCACUGGCUCACCCUAGGGGCACAGGCCACUCACCAAGUGUCAUUCACUCACUCAGCAACAGACACUAAGGGACCGACCACUCAGCACCAGCACUGCAGUGGGCCCUGGGUCCUGGGAGAGAGCAGAACCCCAACCUCUGCCCUCCUGGAGCCGAUGUCCACGGCGGUCAAGUGCUUAAGUGCUCCCCUGCCUGCAGGGCCUGGCUCUGGGGUCUGAGUGAAGCAGGGACACGGAUGGGAAGGCACUUUGCAGACUCCUUCAUUCUCAUAAGUAUGUGGAUUGGUAUUGACUUCCACAUGCUAGAGACAAUGAGGUCAACUGGUGUCAGAGAAGAUUCGGGUUGAAAUCAGAAUAACAAGGAUGCAGUGUGAAUUCUGUGACUUGUUAGCUCUGAGACCAGUGAGAGCAACUUUCUCAGUUUCCUCACCUGGCAAGUGGGGUAACAAAUAUCUGCCCUCGGCAUCUGCAGUGGUGUGGAUGGAUGAACCGUAUGGGAAAGCACCCCGCAGGUUCCAGUGUGCUGCAGACUCCAGUCAUUAAUCCAGUGCCUAUUUAUUAGGUACCUACUGUAUGCCAUUAAGAACAAGGUGAACAAGCUGUCUAAGGACAAUGUGGAAAAAGUCCCCAGGGUAAGGGAGGAAAGAAUCGCUUGUGAGAUGGCUGUACUGCACAUUCAUAGAUUAUGAUUAGCAACAGCCAGCGGGUUGGCAUGGCAACAUUCCCCCAUGAACUGCCAGGCAGUGCGCUUAAAAUAGGUAUGCUGGAGGUGUGGCGAGUGCUGAGCAGGCAGAGGCAGCAGGGCCGGACCGGACUGCUCUGUGGAUGGAGAAGGGCAGUAUACUCUGGGGUCAUGCCCUUGCCUGCUAACUGGGCUGCAAUCAGAGGUGAGAAACACCCACAGUGGGAGCUGGGGAGGGCCUCAGACCUUAGCGUAGGCCCUGUCCUUCCUCCGGAUUGUCUGGGUGAGGAAGCUGAAGCUCUAACAGGUUAAGUGGCAAUCCACAGUCACGUGGCCUGGCCCCUUGACCCCAGAUGGACCAAACUUGGUUCUGGUGGCUUUUGCGGAGGAUUCCUGGCGGUGGCACAGUGUAGUCGUUUCCGGUCACUGUCCUAGGAAGUGGCUCAUUUUCACUGGGCUGCAAUCUGCACAGCAUCACUAAGCAACAUGCAUGAGUGUGAGGGAUCUUUCCUUUUGUGUAGAAGCCAUUUGUGUCUCCUGAGGCUUAAACUCACCUACUUCUUGGCUGGACUUACACGAUUGUUCAUCUGGAAUUGAGGAUGAAUCCAUGGCCUUUGCACUGAGCUACAACCCCCAGCCCCUUUUUUUUAAAGUUAUUUUUUACUUAUUUUUAUUUUUUUUAUUCUGAGACAGAGUCUCACUAAAUUGCUAAGCUGCCCAGGCUGGACUUAAACUUGUAUCCUCCUGCCUCAGCCUCUGGCCUCACUGAGGUUACAGAUGUGUGGCACCACUCCUGGCUUAUGAUUGAAGUUCUAAUCCGGCCCCAUGACCUUCCCUACCUAGUUGCUCAGUGUGCAAAAUCCAGCAGCUAAGCUGAUUGAACACAGAAACCACUCCGUGAUGCAACUAUCAUGGGAGGGCAGCGAGCACAAGUCCUCGCCAAGAAGAGCUCUUUUGCUUUAGUCAGCAAUUUAUCAAGCAAACUCUGUAAACUUGAGGGGAGAUGUUCUCCCUCGGGCUGCUGAGCUUCUUGUAGGAGACUCACAGCCUCCCUUGGAUUCCAGAGAGAAAUCCCAGUUCUGGAAUGUGAGACUUUCAGAGAACUCAUCGACCUCUGGGAACAGGGCGCUAGACUCUAAGCAGACGUGUUUCAGAUGCUCACCGUUCUCUUCUCCACGUAGCUGUUCCCCACAGAGGAAAGGCAGGGAGGCCAGGGCUGGGUGGGUGUUCUCAAGCGCUUCACACUCGCUGCCUGCUGCGGCCUCUGGGCUGUCUGUAGGACGUGAAGAUUGGUCCUGUGGUGGCGAUUCCCACCGCAGAGAUUCCCGCCGCAGAGCCUUUGAAAAGAAGGCAGGCUGCCCGGCCCCUCCUAGCCCACUGACACCACCUCAGGGGCCCCUGCAAAGUCUGUGGGGUUCCAUCCCACAGUCAGGGCAAGAACCAUCAGACUGCGGCCUGAGCCUGUGCUGAUUAAAUCCCCGAUCUCCCGCAGGCUUCUCCUGGCUGAGACUCAUGUUUAUUACUCCUCCUCACUGGGAAAGAAGGGUCCGCAGGAGGAAGCUUCUUAACUGUGGAGUAUUUCUGGCCCUGAGUCACCUGCAGAGCUUCCCCUUAGAGGCCUUUUAAGCAGAUGACCUGCCGGAAAUGGCACACGUGACAUGUACUGACCCUCGGCUUUUGGGAGUUGGUCACUGCCCUAUACCCGCAAGUCCCCAAAAUGUGUGACUGACUCCACAGAUGCAAUGAACGAAUCUCUUGGCUACAGUCAUGGCCAGCACCCCAACUCUACCAGAAAUAGAAACUCUAGGAGAGGCGGAAGCAUCAACUGUGCAAGCAAACAGGAGUCGAUUUGUAUUCAGCUCUUGCUCUGGUUGCCAACUGUAUUCCUACUUGGCCUUGAAGUGAAAUCUCUAGGGCCCUAAGGAAGUGGCGGGAGGAAAACCUCUGGGGUCUGUUGAUGUAUUUAGUCAUUUUCUCUGUGUCAUAAGAAUUUCUAGAAAAAGAUAAUUCAUACCUUGAGCCUAAAACUGUCUUCAGUAAGUUGGCAGAGUUGGGAUUGAAGGAUUGGGAUUUCUUUAUCCCAUUUGAUUCUUUCUAAAUCCUGCUCUGCUUUCAGCAAGCACAGCUCCCUUCCAAAUCCGACCCCAGCGUGCGGGUGUAAAUACAGUUUUCAGAGCUGUAGGAAGACUAAGGAACACUGAUCCCAGGGAUGUAAGGUUCUCUUCAACACCGUCUUUUUUGGUCUUUGAAAACAUUGGGCUUUGAUAAAGGGCGGACCGAUGGCACUUUCAUGGGAUGGUAGAAAAAAGGGAGAGAAAGAAGUCUCGCCAGGAAUGACGUUGUUCAACAUGGCUGGAAACUCGGUUUUGACUCUAUCAAUAUAUUUUUAAAGUAAAGUAACACAUUGCCUUUUUGCACUUGUAACCAUGACAUCGAAGUGACAGGGCAACGAGGGCCUAUGCAGUGACGAUCGGACCGUUCCCUUAGACUCUUCGCUGGGACCAGGACAGGACACCUCCCAGAGGCAGGAGGGCGAGUGUGGGGCCACUUGCACGCCUGGGUUUGCACCGUGGCUGUGCACAGUUGCACAGCGUGCUCACCCCCUCAGCCUCUCCCCAGGAAGGCUGCGUGCAGACAUCACAGAGGGCUGGUGUGUGCCACCCGAGCCGGGCUGCGAUGGUCUCUUCCGCAGCCCUGGGAAGGGGUGAGUGUCCCUGGCCAGACCGUGAGUAAGUCUUGCAGUUUCUCGGCAGAACCUCCCUGUGUCCUUCCUCCCAGGUUAAAUCAGGACAGAGAUCACAAGGAAAGGGUGAUGCACACAUCCAUGUGGAAAGUGUGUGCUUCCCCUCGGGGGCCUGUGUGCAUGGUCACUCCAUGCCUGAGGCUGCACGGACCUGAAGGCAGGCUCGUGUGGGUCUGCCUUCCCCAGCCCCAGGACCGGAUGCUGGCAGUGCAGCCCUGGGGUGGCCUGGCGAUACACGCAGACCCCUCCCCGUGCCGUUCAGCGGGACCCUCCUUGUCACCGUCCCCAGAGAUGUUCGUCAGACUCUCCAUCUGCCGUGUCCGGGCUCAGUCUGCCUCCAGGUUUCUGAGAUUUGUAGCGAUCGUUCUGUCUUGUGUACAACAGGCCCGGGUUUUCUCUUGUUACUGAGAUGUAUUUUUCUAUGUCAG